CACUCACGGUAGCUGCUUCCAAAGCUUUACCAGGCAAUUCAGCCGUUUGCCUGAACAUUUUGGUCCACGUCGAACCGGAUCGACAAGCUGCUCUCCGGAGAUUUCAGCUGCAGAAGCUUUUGAUACCUAGAGCUCAGAAGGUAAUAUCAAUAAGGAGGAAUACAAUUGGCAAUUGUGGAAUUACCAAGAGGAAUUAUAAGAGGAUUUCGGAUUCCAGCAUAUGCUACCUGUCUUAAGCCAAGCAGAGGAUUGUGCUUCUCUAUUUACAAUAUUACUAUGAAGGGUCCUUCGUCUUCUCGUUAUUCGGAAUUUGCCUGCAGGUUGUGCCGCAAAAAACAUCCUCUGAAAUCGUGCUGGAAAUUUCGUGCCAUGAACUCCGCCGAAAGGUUAAAUGCGGUCAAGAAAUAUGGGUACUGUAUGAACUGCCUGGCGCAUACCCAUUCACAGGGCACCUGUUUUACCACCACAGGAUGUGGAUAUUGCCACAAAAAGCACCACUCCUUGUUACAUCAACACCCAAGGUUACAAAAGGCAAAAUCAUCCUCGACAAAAAAGACCAAUAAGACGGUUACCCCUCUUGAUAUCACCACCCCCAAGGACUCUUCAGCCACUACCGGCUCAAUACCGAGGUCAACAUCGACAUCCAGUAUUACCUCUUUGUCGGCACUUCUUAGGCAGAAUGCCACCCCUCUUCUUCCUACUGCAGUCGUCAAAAUCAACGGAGCAAAUGGCACACAGUUGGCAAGGUGUUUAUUGGAUUCCGCGGCCCCCAUGAGCUGCAUUUCAAAACGCUUCGUAGAUAAGCUGGGGUUGUCUACGCUCGAGUUGGAAGAUGAAGUUAUGUGCCCCGUCACCUUGACAUCCUGCGUCGAUUCCAAGACAAAAAUAGAGGCUAUAUUGCGAAUGAGGAACAGGAUUGGAAUUACAACUCCUAAGCAAUCGCUGCCCGAGUCUUCAAAACUCAGUUUCAAAAACUUCGUCCUAGCAGAUAGCAAAUUCUACAAGGCAGCUUCUGUUGAUAUCGUCAUUGGGGUUGACAUAUAUUCCAAAAUUAUAGUCGACGGCAUCUUUAUUCGCCAUGGACUUCCUACAGCUCAAAAUACCCUUUUCGGAUUAGUGCUAUAUGGAACAUUUUCAAAUUAAUACAAAUAAUUGUACUCUCUUCCACCACUUUUAUUCUGAAUUUACGAUACCUUUUUUUUAAAUACUAAUAUGCCAAUUGAAAUCACUUGAAAAGACAUAUUGUAUUAUGAUAUAAUAAGUUAUGCAUUAAGUCAUUUAGUCAUAUGAAUUUAGUCCUAAAUGAAUUGAUUAUAUAAUUGUCAUGUCCCCUUGCCAUGGGGGGCGGAAUGUUUACGUCAAAACGUAAACCAUUUUCACUUUCUUAAAUUGUAUCUUAAAUAUGAAUAGCACCAUUGUUAGUGUACUAUCCAUUCGAACUGUUAUCGAAGUUAAGAUAAAUAUGCUAUGUUUUUCCUUUUCCCAUUUCCAUACUUUCUUUUAUCGGCCUUCUCUAAUGGCCAUAUUGGGAGUCUAAUUUCCGCAUUAUCUUGGAUUCUAUUCUAAUUCGACUCUUGAACCUUACAGUCCAAAUCCAGUUCAAUCCUAAUAAAAAGAAUUCUAAAAGAACUAA